rnacentral:lncRNA from 1 species
CCGGGGACAGUGGUUGAUGUUGCGAAGAAAAUGCCAGCGAUGAGAACUGCUACAACUGAGCCAGAAUAUAAGUCUUUUAGGGUCUCUGAGCAAUCUUUCCCUCUCUACAAGUGUUUCAGCUCAUAGAUUUUCUUUGCAGUUUUACCAUCUUUGUUGCGUCUGUAAGUGAAUUGCUCUGUUACUAGACCAUUGAUGUACUCCUCCAUGCACGAUACAAUACAACCC